rnacentral:rRNA from 1 species
GAGUUUGAUUAUGGCUCAGGAUGAACGCACAAGACGUGCCUAACACAUGCAAAUCGAAUGAAAACAAUUUAAUUAAAUUGUUUUCAUGGUGAACGGGUGAGUAACACAUAAGAAUCAGCUUUUAGAUAAGGCAUAAAAGAGUAAUAUCUUGGUAAUUCCUUAUAUGCGCAGCAGUGCUUAAAAAGGGGACUCCCGUCUAAAAACGAGCUUAUGCCUGAUUAGCUAGUUGGCGAGUUAAAAGCUCACCAAGGCGAAGAUCAGUAGCUGGCCUGAGAGGGCGGCCAGCCACAUUGGGACUGAGACACGGCCCAAACUCCUACGGGAGGCAGCAGUGGAGAAUCUUCUGCAAUGGGCGCAAGCCUGACAGAGCGGCGUCAUGUGAAGGAAGAAGGCCUGAAAUAGGUUGUAAACUUCUUUUACUGAGUAAUGAAUACUGACAACGCAGUAAAAAAGUAUCGGCUAACUCCGUGCCAGCAGCCGCGGUAAUACGGGGGAUGCAAGCGUUAUCCGGAAUCACUGGGCGUAAAGCGUCUGUAGGUGGUUUAGUGUGUUCUUAGUUAAAUUAUGAAGCCUAACUUCAUGAAAAGUAAGAAAACUAUUAGACUUGAGUACGAUAGGGGUAAGAGGAAUUCUUCGAGAAGUAGUGAAAUGCGAAGAUACGAAGGAGAAGAUCAUAAGCGAAGGCUUCUUACUGGGUCGUAACUGACACUGAGAGACGAAAGCUAGGGGAGCGAAUGGGAUUAGAUACCCCAGUAGUCCUAGCUGUAAACGAUGGAUAUUCGGUGCCGGAUUUUAUUAGAACAUUUCGGUACCCUAGCUAACGCGUUAAAUAUCCCGCCUGAGGAGUACGCUCGCAAGGGUGAAACUCAAAGGAAUUGACGGGGGCUCGCACAAGCGGUGGAGCAUGUGGUUUAAUUCGAUGCAAAGCGAAGAACCUUACCAGGGCUUGACAGUAUGUAUAAAAGUCUUAACG